ACAAAAGGGUUGUUGGCUUUGUUGAAACUACCAUCCAUGACGAUCAGAGAGCUUGAUGAUCACAGAGAAGUUGAUGAUGCGUUUGACGGUGACCGUUGAUUAACCCUGGAGGAGGAGCAAAGCGAAGAAGAAGAAGAGAGAUAGGGUUAGGUCGAAGAAGAAGAAGAGAGAUAGGGUUAGGUCGAAGAAGAAGAAGAAGCAAAUAGAGAGAAGAGAGUGGUCCUUUUAAAAAUGGGGGGGCGGCAUGUUGACAGAUUGGGUUUUGGUAUUUGUUUAUAAAGGACGUGCAAGCAAAUGUGAUAUAAUCCUAGACUUUAUUAUAAUGCAACUUGAAAGUGACCCCUUCUUUUCAUUAUUUUCACCUUCUAUUUAAUAUAUACCUCUUUG
rnacentral:lncRNA from 1 species